rnacentral:rRNA from 1 species
GAUGAACGCUGGCGGCGUGCCUAAUACAUGCAAGUCGAGCGAACGGACGAGAAGCUUGCUUUUCUGAUGUUAGCGGCGGACGGGUGAGUAACACGUGGAUAACCUACCUAUAAGACUGGGAUAACUUCGGGAAACCGGAGCUAAUACCGGAUAAUAUUUUGAACCGCAUGGUUCAAAAGUGAAAGACGGUCUUGCUGUCACUUAUAGAUGGAUCCGCGCUGCAUUAGCUAGUUGGUAAGGUAACGGCUUACCAAGGCAACGAUGCAUAGCCGACCUGAGAGGGUGAUCGGCCACACUGGAACUGAGACACGGUCCAGACUCCUACGGGAGGCAGCAGUAGGGAAUCUUCCGCAAUGGGCGAAAGCCUGACGGAGCAACGCCUCGUGAGUGAUGAAGGUCUUCGGAUCGUAAAACUCUGUUAUUAGGGAAGAACAUAUGUGUAAGUAACUGUGCACAUCUUGACGUUACCUAAUCAGAAAGCCACGGCUAACUACGUG